UUUGGGUUGGUUCCGAUAACGUUGCGUUUGUGAGGAUCCGUUCGACUACGUUCCUUUGUCUCCUUCAUGGACUCGUUCUUCUUCCUUCCGGGAUCUCAGGCAAGAUGACCAUACCCUCGAAACCACUUCUAUCUUUGCUUGUUAGUUGCUCGCUUUAUUGCUAUGUCGCGAUACCUACCACAUGCUUUAUCAUGCCUCCCAUAUUGCCAUGUUCAGCCUCUAACCCACCUUGUCCUAGCAAACCGUUGUUUGGCUAUGUUACCGCUUUGCUCAGCCCCUCUUAUAGUGUUGUUAGUUGCAGGUGAAGAUGAAGUUUGUUCCUUUUUGGAAUAUGGAUAUGUUAGGAUAUCACAAUAUCUCUUAUUUUAAUUAAUGCAUCUAUAUACUUGGUAAAUGGUGGACGGCUCGGCCUUUUGCCUGGUGUUUUGUUCCACUCUUGCCGCCCUAGUUUCUGUUAUACCGGUAUUAUGUUCCUUGAUUUUGCGAUCCUUACGCAGUUGGGUUAUAAUGGGAACCCCUUGACAGUUCGCUUUGAAUAAAACUCCUCCAACAAGGCCCAACCUUGGUUUUACCAUUUGCCUCACCACCACCUACUUUUCCCUUGGGAGUCGCGCUCCCGAGGGUCAUCUUUAUUUUAACUCCUCGGGCCAGUGCUCAUCUGAGUGUUGGUCCAAACUAGAGCCCCUUGCAGUGCCACCUCGGGGAAACUUGAGGGUUGGUUUUAGUUGUACGGAUUGCUCAUCAGGUGUGCCCUGAGAAUGAGAUAUGUGCAACUCCUAUCGGGAUUUGUCGGCACAUUCGGGCGGCUUUGCUGGUCUUGUUUUAUCAUUGUUGAAAUGUCUUGUAACCGGGAUUCCGAGUCUGAUCGGGUCUUCCUGGGAGAAGGAAUAUCCUUUGUUGACCAUGAGAGCUUGUGAUGGGCUAAGUUGGGACACCCCUGCAGGGUUUUGAACUUUCGAAAGCCGUGCCCGCGGUUAUGGGCAGAUGGGAAUUUGUUAAUGUCUGGUUGUAGAGAACUUGACACUUAACUUAAUUAAAAUGCAUCAACCGCGUGUGUAGCUGUGAUGGUCUCUUUCCGGCGGAGUCCGGGAAGUGAACACGGUUCUUGUGUUAUGCUUGAACGUAAGUAGUUUCAGGAUCACUUCUUCAUCACAUCUAGUUCACGCCCGUGCAUUGCUUCUCUUCUCGCUCUUAUUUGCGUAUGUUAGCCACCAUAUAUACUUACUGCUUGCUGCAGCUCCACCUCAUUACCCCUUUCCUACCCAUAAGCUCAAAUAGUAUUGAUCUCACGGGUUGGUUCCGGACAUGCAUCAUACUUGGUUGUGCAUCAUGCCAUGGUUAUGUGAUAGUUGUUUACCAUGUUGUUUGCUUCUUUCUGGUGUGCUUCUUUGGGUUGGUUCCGAUAACGUUGCGUUUGUGAGGAUCCGUUCGACUACGUUCGUUUGUCUCCUUCAUGGACUCGUUCUUCUUCCUUGCGGGAUCUCAGGCAAGAUGACCAUACCCUCGAAAUCACUUCUAUCUUUGCUUGCUAGUUGCUUGUUCUAUUGCUAUGCCGCGAUACCUACCACAUGCUUUAUCAUGCCUCCCAUAUUGCCAUGUUCAGCCUCUAACCCACCUUGUCUUAGCAAACCGUGUUUGGAUAUGUUACCGCUUUGCUCAGCCCCUCUUAUAGCAUUGUUAGUUCUAGGUGAAGAUGAAGUUUGUUCCUUGUUGGAACAUGGAUAUGUUGGGAUAUCACCAUAUCUCUUAUUUUAAUUAAUGCAUCUAUAUACUUGGUAAAGGGUGGAAGGCUCGGCCUUAUGCCUGGUGUUUUGUUCCACUCUUGCCGUCCUAUUUUCCGUCAUACCGGUGUUAUGUUCCUUGAUUUUGUGUUCCUUACGCCGUUGGGUUAUAAUGGGAACCCCUUGACAGUUCUCUUUGAAUAAAACUCCUCCAGCAAGUCCCAACCUUGGUUUAACAUUUGCCUCACCACCACCUACUUUUCCCUUGGGAGUCGCGCUCCCGAGGGUCAUCUUUAUUUGGACCCCCUCGGGCCAGUGCUCCUCUGAGUGUUGGUCCAAACUAGAGCCCCUUGCAGCGCCACCUCGGGGAAACUUGAGGGUUGGUUUUAGUUGUACGGAUUGCUCAUCCGGUGUGCCCUGAGAACGAGAUAUGUGCUGCUCCUAUCGAGAUUUGUCGGCAUAUUCGGGCGGCUUUGCUGGUCUUGUUUUACCAUUGUUGAAAUGUCUUGUAACCAGGAUUCCGAGUCUGAUCGGGUUUUCCUGGGAGAAGGAAUAUCCUUCGUUGACCGUGAGAACUUGUGAUGGGCUAAGUUGGGACACCCCUGCAGGGUUUUGAACUUUCGAAAGCAGUGCCCGCGGUUAUGGGCAAAUGGGAAUUUGUUAAUGUCCGGUUGUAGAGAACUUGACACUUAACUUAAUUAAAAUGCAUCAACCGCGUGUGUAGCCGUGAUGGUCUCUUUUCGGCGGAGUCCGGGAAGUGAACAUGGUUCUUAUGUUAUGGUUGAACGUAAGUAGUUUCAGGAUCACUUCUUGAUCACAUCUAGUUCACGCUCGUGCAUUGAUUCUCUUCUCGCUCUUAUUUGCGUAUGUGAGCCACCAUAUAUGCUUAGUGCUUGCUGUAGCUCCACCUCAUUACCCCUUUCCUACCCAUAAGCUUAAAUAGUCUUGAUCUCGCGAGUGUGAGAUUGCUGAGUCCUCGUGGCUCAUAGAUACUUCCAAACAGUUGCAGGUGCCGAUGAUACCAGUGCAGAUGACGCAACUGAGCUCAAGUGGGAGCUCGAUGAAGAUCGUGUUCAUUGUGUUGUUUCGUUUUACAGUUGAUCAGUAGUGGAUCCCAGUUGGGGCGAUCGGGGAUCUUGCAAUAGGGGUGGUCUUUUUUAUUUGGUUCCAUAGUCGGACCUUGAUU
rnacentral:lncRNA from 1 species